rnacentral:rRNA from 1 species
AUUGAACGCUGGCGGCAGGCCUAACACAUGCAAGUCGAGCGGAUGAAGGGAGCUUGCUCCUGGUUUCAGCGGCGGACGGGUGAGUAAUGCCUAGGAAUCUGCCUGGUAGUGGGGGAUAACGUCCGGUAACGGGCGCUAAUACUGCAUACGUCCUGAGGGAGAAAGUGGGGGAUCUUCGGACCUCAGGCUAUCAGAUGAGCCUAGGUGGGAUUAGCUAGUUGGUGGGGUAAAGGCCUACCAAGGCGACGAUCCGUAACUGGUCUGAGAGGAUGAUCAGUCACACUGGAACUGAGACACGGUCCAGACUCCUACGGGAGGCAGCAGUGGGGAAUAUUGGACAAUGGGCGAAAGCCUGAUCCAGCCAUGCCGCGUGUGUGAAGAAGGUCUUCGGAUUGUAAAGCACUUUAAGUGGGGAGGAAGGGCAGUAAGUUAAUACCUUGCUGUUUUGACGUUACCAACAGAAUAAGCACCGGCUAACUUCGUG